rnacentral:tRNA from 1 species
GUUGAGGUGGCGCAAUUAGUAGCGCGUUGCACUGUUAAUGCAAAGGUUGGAGGUGCAAGUCCUCCCCUCGACG